rnacentral:sRNA from 1 species
GACAUGAAUCAGUCAGUUUAGAUGCGAAAGCAGCUGGUUCGGUCACACCAUUCAUGAAGCUCGUCGCAUUAACUCUUAAACCAACGAGCUGGGGGACUAACUGUUGGGGUCGGAUUCCCCCACAAGCAAGACCGAGCCAAACAUUCAUAAGAAUAACAAUCACCUUAUGGUUAAA